GCAAACCACCAUACUGUCUUCUUCUCCUAUCUUCGAUACUAAGCAAUAGUGCCAGAGCUAACUUUUAUAUACGCUAAAUUUUGUUUCUCUUGUUCGAUUUAUCAGGCGAGAUCUACCAGAUCUGGCUAAUUGCUGGCAAAGUUCAAGCCCUGUUACACCUGGGCUGAUGUCGGUGGUGCUCUGGAUUGUGCCUUUGGCUAUACUCCCGAGUAUCUCCACUAUGCUGCUAAACACAAAGCGUAUGCCUGGAUACAAACGUUUUUUUUUUUAAGUGAUAAUGAACUUUUUGCUUUUGAUUUUGUCACUUGGGUCUAUGCCGGGUUCUAUGCAGGUUUGUCCUCUUGGAUGAGUCCUUCUUGGUUGAGAUCAGAAUGACGUUAAGAGCAAUAAUUGAGUUUGCUUGCGGCACUUAUGGUAUACUUUUUACAUAUGUGACCGC